rnacentral:rRNA from 1 species
CCUACGGGUGGCAGCAGUGGGGAAUAUUUCGCAAUGGGCGAAAGCCUGACCCAGCAACGCCGCGUGAAGGAAUAAGGCUUUCGGGUUGUAAACUUCUUUUCUGAGGGACGAAGAAAAUGAAGGUACCUCAAGAAUAAGCCACGACUAACUACGUGCCAGCAGCCGCGGUAAUACGUAGGUGGCAAGCGUUAUCCGGAUUUAUUGGGGGUAAAGGGCGUGUAGGCGGGAAAGAAAGUCAGAUGUGAAAACUCAGGGCUCAACCCUGAGCCUGCACUUGAAACUGUUUGGCUAGAGUGAUGGAGAGGCAAGCGGAAUUCGUGGUGUAGCGGUGAAAUGCGUAGAUAUAGGGAGGAACACCAGUGGCGAAGGCGGAUUGCUGGACAGUAACUGACGCUGAGGCGCGAAAGCGUGGGGAGCAAACAGGAUUAGAUACCCCUGUAGUC